rnacentral:rRNA from 1 species
AACGAACGCUGGCGGCAUGCCUAACACAUGCAAGUCGAACGAUGCUGUCGGGCAUAGUGGCGCAGGGGUGCGUAACGCGUGGGAAGCUGCCCUUGGGUUCGGAAUAACAGUGAGAAAUUUCUGCUAAUACCGGAUGAUGUCUUCGGGCCAAAGAUUUAUCGCCAAGGGAUGAGCCCGCGUAGGAUUAGCGAGUUGGUGGGGUAAUCGCAUACCAAGGAGACGAUCCUUAGCUGGUCUGAGAGGAUGCUCCGCCACGAUGGGACUGCGGCACGGACCACUACGGGACGGAAGGGUGCAGUGGAGAAUAUUGGGCGCUGAGGCCAAGCGUAGCCCAGCAAUGCCGGGUAAGAGAGGCAGGCCUUAGGAUUCUGCAGCUGCCUUACACGAGAUGUUAAUGACGGUACCGGGUGAAUAAGCACCGGCUAACUCCGUG